GGCAAUAUGGCCGAGUGGUCUAAGGCGCCAGAAUCAGGCAUUCAGCUAAACAUCUGGUCCUCCGGGGCGAGGGUUCGAAUCCCUCUGUUGUCA